ACCUGGCUGGCUCAGUUGGAAGAGCGUGGGACUCUUAAUCUUGGGGUUGUGAGUUCCAGCCCCAUGUUGGGUG
rnacentral:tRNA from 1 species